GUGAAUGUCAGUAGAAUCAUCACACGUUUGUCUCUGCGGCAGGAUGUCCGGUUGCGGUUCGGGCUGCUUUGCGCUGAAUCGAAUGGAUCAAGGCCGCCGCCGAGAGACCAAGAGGGCUCGUGCUAUGCAAGUGGAUGCUCGUGGGCCCGCCGUGUUAACAUGACUACCUUGCACCUGUACUUGGCAAGAAGAGUACCCGCACCGAGGGCGACGACGACGCGCCGGCGCAGUUCGGCCCGGAUGACCCCGGAGGCUUCCACCGCUUCCAGGACGAGCUCGUGCGCCGCAAGUCCGAGGAAGGACAGCGUCGACGUCAGGAAGAGGGCGCCGAGGACGCCGUCAACGUCUCGGAGAAGGAGGCAGCCAGUUUCAUACGAGCAGCGAGCCGCUGGAACGAGCACCGCCUGCAGAGGGUCCAGGAGGUGUGCGCGCGCCACAACCUGGGGCUCUACCGCUCCUCCGCCGCCCCGCCCGACGUCAAGCUGCCUCCCACCCCGCAGUACGCCGUGUUCUACUA